UGGCGGACGGGUGAGUAAUGUCUGGGAAACUGCCCGAUGGAGGGGGAUAACUACUGGAAACGGUAGCUAAUACCGCAUAACGUCGCAAGACCAAAGAGGGGACCUUCGGGCCUCUUGCCAUCGGAUGUGCCCAGAUGGGAUUAGCUAGUAGGUGGGGUAACGGCUCACCUAGGCGACGAUCCCUAGCUGGUCUGAGAGGAUGACCAGCCACACUGGAACCGAGACACGGUCCAG
rnacentral:rRNA from 1 species